GACGAACGCUGGCGGCGUGCUUAACACAUGCAAGUCGAACGGAAAGGCCCUGCUUUUGUGGGGUGCUCGAGUGGCGAACGGGUGAGUAACACGUGAGUAACCUGCCCUUGACUUUGGGAUAACUUCAGGAAACUGGGGCUAAUACCGGAUAGGAGCUCCUGCUGCAUGGUGGGGGUUGGAAAGUUUCGGCGGUUGGGGAUGGACUCGCGGCUUAUCAGCUUGUUGGUGGGGUAGUGGCUUACCAAGGCUUUGACGGUUAGCAGGCCUGAGAGGAUGACCGGCCACAUUGGGACUGAGAUACGGCCCAAUCUCCUACGGGAGGCAGCAGUGUGGAAUACUGCACGAUGAGCGGAAGGCUGAUGCAGCAACACCGCGUGCGGGAUGACGGCCUUCGGGGUGUAAGCCGCUUUCGCCUGUGACGGAGCGUGAGUGACGGUAAUGGGUAAAGAAGCACCGGCUAACUACGUG
rnacentral:rRNA from 1 species